CUACAAGAGUGGCUGCCCUUAGUUUUGCCCCUGAGUUGUUGUGGGGAUUUCCUGGGCCCUCUGACCUGGUGUGUACAUUGCCUGAUGCUUGCUGAAUAACUGAUGGGAGAUGUUGCUGUCACCACCCUGCUUCACUCACAAUCUUGACAUGUGUCUGCCUAUGCAAUGACUUGGUUUAUUUCACUGCCACCAGUCAGCUUGGAGGACCCAAGCUCAAGCUCAGACAGUGACUGAAGAGGUGACAGGCUGCAAUGAUUUCCAAGAGGAUUAAGAACUGCAGGUACAGAGGGAUGCUACCAAGGUCUUGCUCUGUCUUGAAG